rnacentral:rRNA from 1 species
AUACGGGGGGUGCGAGCGUUAUUCGGAAUUACUGGGCGUAAAGAGCGCGUAGGCGGUCUUUUAAGUCAGGUGUGAAAGCCCGGGGCUCAACCCCGGAAGUGCACUUGAAACUAAGAGACUUGAGUAUGGGAGAGGGAAGUGGAAUUCCUGGUGUAGCGGUGAAAUGCGUAGAUAUCAGGAGGAACAUCAGUGGCGAAGGCGACUUCCUGGACCAAUACUGACGCUGAGGCGCGAAGGCGUGGGGAGCAAACAGGAUUAGAAACCCUAGUAGUCC